UUAAGUGACUAAGCGUACACGGUGGAUGCCUUGGCAGUCAGAGGCGAUGAAAGACGUAGUAACUUGCGAUAAGCCCAGAUUAGGUAGUAACAACCAUUUGAGUCUGGGAUUUCUGAAUGGGGAAACCCACUUACAUAAGUAAGUAUCAUUAACUGAAUACAUAGGUUAAUGAGGCGAACCGGGGGAACUGAAACAUCUAAGUACCCCGAGGAAAAGAAAUCAACCGAGAUUCCGAAAGUAGCGGCGAGCGAAAUUGGACUAGCCCUUAAGCUUUACACGCGUUAGACGAACGGUCUGGAAAGUCCGACGAUACAGGGUGAUAGUCCCGUAGUUGACGACGUGUGUUCAGUGAAAUCGAGUAGGGCGGGACACGUGAUAUCCUGUCUGAAUAUGGGGGGACCAUCCUCCAAGGCUAAAUACUACUGACUGACCGAUAGUGAACCAGUACCGUGAGGGAAAGGCGAAAAGAACCCCUGUGAGGGGAGUGAAAUAGAACCUGAAACCGUGUACGUACAAGCAGUAGGAGCAGGCUUUGUCCUGUGACUGCGUACCUUUUGUAUAAUGGGUCAGCGACUUAUAUUCAGUGGCAAGGUUAACCAUCUAGGGGAGCCGUAGGGAAACCGAGUCUUAACUGGGCGUUCAGUCUCUGGAUAUAGACCCGAAACCAGGUGAUCUAGCCAUGGGCAGGUUGAAGGUUGAGUAACAUCAACUGGAGGACCGAACCGACUAAUGUUGAAAAAUUAGCGGAUGACUUGUGGCUAGGGGUGAAAGGCCAAUCAAACCUGGAGAUAGCUGGUUCUCCCCGAAAGCUAUUUAGGUAGCGCCUCGGACGAAUACUACUGGGGGUAGAGCACUGUUAAGGCUAGGGGGUCAUCCCGACUUACCAACCCUUUGCAAACUCCGAAUACCAGUAAGUACUAUCCGGGAGACACACGGCGGGUGCUAACGUCCGUCGUGGAGAGGGAAACAACCCAGACCGCCAGCUAAGGUCCCAAAUUACUACUAAGUGGGAAACGAUGUGGGAAGGCUCAGACAGCCAGGAUGUUGGCUUAGAAGCAGCCAUCAUUUAAAGAAAGCGUAAUAGCUCACUGGUCGAGUCGGCCUGCGCGGAAGAUGUAACGGGGCUAAGUAGUAAACCGAAGCUGCGGCAAUGUGCUUUUGCACAUUGGGUAGGGGAGCGUUCUGUAAGCGGUUGAAGGUGUGUGGUAACGCAUGCUGGACGUAUCAGAAGUGCGAAUGCUGACAUGAGUAACGAUAAAGGGGGUGAAAAACCUCCUCGCCGGAAGACCAAGGGUUCCUGUCCAACGUUAAUCGGGGCAGGGUAAGUCGACCCCUAAGGCGAGGCCGAAAGGCGUAGUCGAUGGGAAACGGGUUAAUAUUCCCGUACUUCUUACAAUUGCGAUGGGGGGACGGAGAAGGCUAGGUGGGCCUGGCGACGGUUGUCCAGGUUCAAGUGCGUAGGCUUAAGAGUUAGGUAAAUCCGGCUCUUUUUAAGGCUGAGACACGACGUCGAGCACCUACGGGUGUGAAGUCAUUGAUGCCAUGCUUCCAGGAAAAGCCUCUAAGCUUCAGAUUGUAAGGAAUCGUACCCCAAACCGACACAGGUGGUCGGGUAGAGAAUACCAAGGCGCUUGAGAGAACUCGGGUGAAGGAACUAGGCAAAAUGGUACCGUAACUUCGGGAGAAGGUACGCUCUCGACGGUGAAGUCCCUCGCGGAUGGAGCUAUUGAGAGUCGCAGAUACCAGGUGGCUGCAACUGUUUAUUAAAAACACAGCACUGUGCAAAAUCGUAAGAUGACGUAUACGGUGUGACGCCUGCCCGGUGCCGGAAGGUUAAUUGAUGGGGUUAGACUUCGGUCGAAGCUCUUGAUCGAAGCCCCGGUAAACGGCGGCCGUAACUAUAACGGUCCUAAGGUAGCGAAAUUCCUUGUCGGGUAAGUUCCGACCUGCACGAAUGGCGUAAUGAUGGCCACGCUGUCUCCACCCGAGACUCAGUGAAAUUGAAAUCGCUGUGAAGAUGCAGUGUACCCGCGGCUAGACGGAAAGACCCCGUGAACCUUUACUACAGCUUGGCACUGAACAUUGACCCUACAUGUGUAGGAUAGGUGGGAGGCUUUGAAGCACGUACGCCAGUAUGUGUGGAGCCGUCCUUGAAAUACCACCCUUGUAGUGUUGAUGUUCUAACGUCGACCCCUUAUCGGGGUUGCGGACAGUGCCUGGUGGGUAGUUUGACUGGGGCGGUCUCCUCCCAAAGAGUAACGGAGGAGCACGAAGGUGGGCUAAUCACGGUUGGACAUCGUGAGGUUAGUGCAAUGGCAUAAGCCCGCUUGACUGCGAGAAUGACAAUUCGAGCAGGUGCGAAAGCAGGUCAUAGUGAUCCGGUGGUUCUGAAUGGAAGGGCCAUCGCUCAACGGAUAAAAGGUACUCCGGGGAUAACAGGCUGAUACCGCCCAAGAGUUCAUAUCGACGGCGGUGUUUGGCACCUCGAUGUCGGCUCAUCACAUCCUGGGGCUGAAGUCGGUCCCAAGGGUAUGGCUGUUCGCCAUUUAAAGUGGUACGCGAGCUGGGUUUAGAACGUCGUGAGACAGUUCGGUCCCUAUCUGCCGUGGGCGUUGGAAGAUUGAAGGGGGCUGCUCCUAGUACGAGAGGACCGGAGUGGACGAACCUCUGGUGUUCGGGUUGUGUCGCCAGACGCAUUGCCCGGUAGCUAAGUUCGGAAUCGAUAACCGCUGAAAGCAUCUAAGCGGGAAGCGAGCCCUGAGAUGAGUCUUCCCUGAUACUUUAAGUAUCCUAAAGGGUUGUCGGAGACUACGACGUUGAUAGGUCAGGUGUGUAAGUGCUGUGAGGCAUUGAGCUAACUGAUACUAAUUGCCCGUGAGGCUUAACC
rnacentral:rRNA from 1 species